CACAUAAGUGAUAUCGAUUGGUUAGUUGGAUGGGUUUUGGCUCAGCGAUCAGGUUGUCUUAGAAGUACAUUAGCUGUUAUGAAGAAAUCAUCAAAAUUCCUUCCGGUCAUCGGUUGGUCAAUGUGUUUUU